CAAAACCAUUUGCUUAUGCUCCCAAGACUCCUUAUGAGGAAUGUGAGAAGCCCAAGCCAACUCCUGCUCCUUACCACUACAUAUCUCCUCCGCCACCAACUUAUGUCUAUAAAUCACCACCACCUCCACCACCAACUUACCUAUACAAGUCACCGCCACCACCAGUGAAACCUCCACCAAAGCCGUAUUAUUACGUCUCCCCACCACCACCAACUUAUGUCUAUAAAUCACCACCACCUCCACCACCAACUUACCUAUACAAGUCACCGCCACCACCGGUGAAACCUCCGCCAAAGCCGUAUCAUUACGUCUCCCCACCACCACCUACUGUAUCUCCACCGCAUUAUUACUACACAUCACCACCACCACCGGUGAAACCUCCGCCAAAGCCGUAUCAUUACAUCUCCCCACCACCACCGGAGAAAUCUCCACCACCACCCUAUCCUUACAUCUCCCCGCCACCGCCGGAGAAAUCUCCACCACCACCCUAUCCUUACAUCUCCCCACCACCGCCGGAGAAAUCUCCACCACCGCCCUAUCCUUACAUCUCCCCGCCACCGCCGGAGAAAUCUCCACCACCACCCUAUCCUUACAUCUCCCCGCCACCGCCGGAGAAAUCUCCACCACCACCCUAUCCUUACAUCUCCCCGCCACCGCCGGAGAAAUCUCCACCACCACCCUAUCCUUACAUCUCCCCACCACCGCCGGAGAAAUCUCCACCACCACCUUAUCCUUACAUCUCCCCGCCACCGCCGGAGAAAUCUCCACCACCACCCUAUCCUUACAUCUCCCCGCCACCGCCGGAGAAAUCUCCACCACCACCUUAUCCUUACAUCUCCCCACCACCGCCGGAGAAAUCUCCACCACCUCCAUACCACUACACCUCACCUCCCCCACCCGAAAAAUCACCUCCUCCACCAGUCUACACUUAUGCUUCUCCCCCACCCCCAACUCACUACUGAGCUCCAACAGCUCCGCCACUUUCCACCUUCAAGAAAGUAAGUUCAUUACUAUUCAACUGGUCAUUCAUUUUAUUCCUUGGCAAAAACAAAUCAUAAACUUAACAUCCAUAUACACAAGCCUCUUAACUCUUUCUUCAUCUUGCAGAUUUCCAUUUCAACCAAAGAAUAAAGGAAGGCUUCUUGAGAAGAAGAUACAGACGUCAAAUAUCCUUGAAGGACAUUACAUUCCUCAAUAAGGUCUUCAUCAUGAAAUGCAUAGGCACAAAACUUUCUGACAUGGACCAGUUUGCUUCUACUUCUCUGGUGGCCCUCUUACACAUAAUCAUCAUCCUAGCGCCUUCAAAGUGGACAAGUGGCUAGCCUCAAAUGUUUAUUUAUUUGGACAUAGUGAGAUUAGUCAGCGAGAAUGGAGGGGGUUUUAGAGUUGUUCAUUAUAAUUUAUUACCUGUAUAGAGGAUGCAUGGCCUUCUUGUGAGAUUGAUAUUUAUAUUUAUUACUCGGGUGUUUCUUUAAUUUUCUUGUGUAUUGUGCCCUCAACAAUUGUUAGCAAUAAAAGAAUUGAUAUUUAUAUUAAUUACUCAGGUCUCUUGAUUCUUUAUUUCUCUUGCGUAUUGUGCCCUCGACAAUUGUUAGUAAUAUCUUCAACCAACUUCCCCACAAAACAACCAAAAAAGAGAAAAACAUUAGUAAUAAACUUAUAAAAGAGACAUCUUCGGAAAACACAGCUUGCUUUCUUCCUGCUUCUGGCUCUGACCGACUUUGACAUGACUAUGGAAGUGUGUGCUCAUAGAUAUUUGUUCCAUCUAUUCUGUCUCUCUAGUACACAUUUUUUGUCGCAUAUUCUGAUCAAACUAAUAUAUAAUUUGUACUAAACAAUUUAUUUGAAUUUAUUCAAACAGUUUUUUCAAAAACAUUUUUCAAAAAAUGUCAAAAUAUGUGUAACUCCCAAAGUUCAUGCAAGUUGGCACUUGGCAAAAAGAGGGGGGAUGAAGAGCGAAGACUUUUAUGGGAAUCUUUAUGAGAUCAACAUAGACACAACAGGGCCUAGUUAUCGUUUUGACAGCGGAAAAACAAGUCUCCGCCUAUAUCAAAGGUUCUCAACUCAGCUGCAUCCCAUCUGCUCCUUUAUUCAAUUUUUUCAUUUUAUAUUUAUUGGGUAUACUCCAUUAUUUACUUUUUUAAAGAGAUGAUGGACUUCACAAAUCAACAUUUCCAAAAUUUGCUGUAACUUUAUUUGAUUUCCUCCUUUCUCCAGCCCCAUGAUCAAAGGGCAAUGUGCUGAAGACUUGGAAGUGAACAUGCUUAUACUAGCACCUAAAUCAAAGUGUUUUUCAAAAUUUUGUUCGGCAAUAAAUAUUUGCCUCUAUCUUUGUGUACUUCUUUUUUUUUUUAUAUAUAUAUACUUGCUUUACUAGUUUGGGAGCAUAUGCAAUGCACUUGGUUUGUUUAUCAAUAAAUAGAUAAAUUAUUUCUUUGGGUAUUAAUAAGAAGAGAAAUAUUUUUGGGCAAAUGACCUGAAUAGUCUUCCAAAAUUUUUACUAAACCAUUUUUGGUUCUCCAACUUUAAUUUUAUAGUCCCUUAACUUUAUUAUUAGGCCAAUGUGGUCUCUCCACUAUAAUUCGAAAUAAUGUCGUCCCUUAACUGAUGUUACUGAGCCAAUUUGAUCCUUCAACAUUUUACUGACCAAUUUAAGUAGGCAAAGUCGUCAAUUCAAAUUUUUUACCACUUUCCCAAGUCAUAAAAUCACGGAAAACAAAAAGAAAUAGCCCAACAAAUUACAAAAAGCACCAACCAGGUUAGGGAAAAAAUGCUUACAAAAAAGGAAAAAAACCCAAGAUGCAGUAUUUGUUUUAUUGCCUUUUUCUUAUCUUUAUAUGCCUUUUCAUUUCUUUGAUAAAUUACCGUAAUUAAGCUCAUGAUUCUAAUUAAGUUCUUGUCUUCAAAUAUGCAAGUGGACUUCUCAGUUGUAAGGAUUAUGGAGAUUUCUUAUCUUUAAGUAUAAAAUUGUUUUGACCAAGGAAAAUUUUAUGUGGUUUAGCCAUUUGUAUAUUAAUUUGAGCAAUAUAUAAUGCCUACAAACAAUCAAUCAUAUAAACCAUCACAUGUACUUACUUCCUGUCACAAUCAAACCUAUAAGUACACUGAUUUAAGCAACUUUUUACAAGUGAGACUUCACAUGGACUCUUGUUUGAUUGGAUUUAUUUAAGCUACUUUUUACAAGUGAGAUUCAGGUUGCAGUGCCUUCCAAAAAAAUUUUAGGACCUCACCCAACAUCUUUUAAUUCAUUUCUCAUUCUAUGAUCUUCUUGGCCUAUCUUACAAAUGCAGCCAUUACUGAGCCUAUUAAUUGUAAAUAGAGUUAAUUGGAGUUUACCCCCUAAACUUGACUCCUUUUAAUGCUUUGCCUUUUUAACUUCAAAUAUAUUUAUUUGGCUCCCUACAUCGACUAGUGAAACGUUAAUAAUGAACUUUCUAUCCAAAUUUUUAAUAAAAUAACAGUAAUGCCCAUACAUAGUGGUUGUUGGAUGAUGUUGUACGUAAAGUUGAAAUGUAGAGCACUUUAUUCGAAAAAAACAUUGAAUCCCAUGAUAUAAAAAAUAAAAAAGAAAUGGCGAAAUAUCAAAUAGUUAACAAGUACAAUUUUGUGUUGUAGAGUUAACAAAUUUUAGAGAAAUCCCCAAAACUUUUAUAGUAGUUUUCUGUUGCUUCUCUUUCUUCCUUUAAAUUAUGAAUGACUUGGCUUUGAUAAUCUUUGCUUACCUUACAUUCUCACAGUAUUCUUAUGAGUUAAUAAGAUAUGAAUUGGUGUUUUUAUACCACAUUCAUACCUUGUUUUAUAUUUUGUUUAGGUUCUACAUUAUUCAGUAAAAAAUUUGAGAUUGUUUAAAAGCGUUUUUCACUAUAUUUUUAUUUUUUCCAAUCACCAUUUCAUUCCACAAUAAUCACAUGAAGAAAAGCAUUCAAAUAAAAAAAAUCCUCAAAUAAUCUUCAUUCCAAAUGCAAUCAUUAAUUUUACUUCAUCUAAAUAAGCACUAUUAAUGUUGAGAUGAACGCUUUGAGUUGUUUAGACAUUUUUUGUAGAUAUUCUAGCUGUUUUUAUUGCUAAAAGAUCGAAUACAUGGUAUUGUUGUGCUCAAAUAAAAUUAGCAAUUGUUGAAACAAUAGUCAUUUAUUAGGCUACAAUUAUUGUAUCAAGAAUUAGCUCGGGGUAUUCUGGUCAUGCAAAAUAUAAUUUCAUCUUAACCCUGUGACAGCCCCACCUUCUCAUAAGGCGAACCAGGGGGUUCAGCGGACCACCUGCCCAACUCUCACCAAAACUCACUACAAUCCAUAGCAAGAAUUAUUUGAAAUUUUUAAACUAACCAAAAUAAUAUUCAUUGCACCCCAAAAUAACAUUUACAUACAUCCUAGAGCUAAUACAUAGGUUCACAUACAAAAGAUUCAUCUUUCGGCGUCUAUCUUAAUUACAACUCAAAAGUAUAUACACUAUGGUCAUUGCUACUAAAAUGAAAACUUAAAGUCUCCAAAAACAUUUCAAUAGUAUUCUUGAGCACUCUCGGAUCCAAAUCCUGUUAAGGAAAACAAAACGUGGGAUGAGCUUACGUCCAGUGAGCAUUCCAAGUAAACAGAAAAAAUAAGAGAAUAUCACAAUUUAACAUGUAAGCACAUUUUUCCAAGUAAUAUAGGUUCAAGUAAAUCGAUAGUCAACUUUAGAAACUGGUAGUGUAGCAAUUAAUUGUAAUAGGAAUCUUUCAAUGUAAAAUACUUGAUAAACAAUAACAUUCAUGUAUGUAUUCAAUCAUUCGUUCAAGUAAAUAAAAGGAUGAAUAGUAAUUUAAACAUUAAAUGGAUACGGGGCUCACAGGAAGUAACAUUCGCCUUAUAACUGCCAAUAAACAAUCCCCUACAUUUUACCAC
rnacentral:lncRNA from 1 species